rnacentral:rRNA from 1 species
UUUAACAAUUAUUUUUCUUAAUAAAUUUUACUUAUUUGUUGGACAGCAAUGGAUAGUUUAGGUAUUAUUUAGAUAUUAGUAUUAUCCUUUUUGCAUAACGGAAAAACUACAAUAUAAGGAUAUCUCUAUUUCCCGAAAGUAGAAGAUCUAUAAGAUUAAUAGUUUUAGCUUGGAUUUUUUGUGUUGCAUUACAAUUUCAAUAUUUUCUUAUAGGGGUGAAAUGCUUACAAUUCUACUGAUAUCUGGAUUUAGAUCAAGAGUAUUAAGUACUUAAUACAAUUAAUUAGCGUUUAGGUUGAUUAAAGAGAGAACUAUUUAAAUUCUAACUUUUAGAUUAGGGUUAAUAACUCAAUCCCAUCCAAAGGACUUCAUAAUUUCUUUAAUCUUGAGUCUCUCGUUUGAUUUAAGUUUGAAAGUAAUUUAACUGUCAAUCCAUAAUGUUUUUAUUAGUAAAAUUCACUCAGAUUACUUUUAAUAAAUAGAAUAAAGGAACUCGGCAAAAAUAUGCUUCAACUGUUUAUCAAAAACAUAGCCUUAAGAUUAAUGAAUUCAUUUAAGGUGAAACCUGCCCAGUGCGUUGAGUAAACGGCCGCAGUACCUUGACUGUGCUAAGGUAGCAUAAUCAGUUGGCUUUUAAAUGGAGUCGGGUAUGAAUGGGAUAAUGUGGCUAAGCUGUCUUUAUUUUACUUAAUUAAAUUUACUUAUCAGGUGAAAAUUCCUGAAAACUAAGAAAUUAGACGAGAAGACCCUAGGAGUUUUUAUUAAAGUUAAAAUAUUUUAAUCUUGUAUUUUUGUUGGGGCGACAGAAGGAAAAUGAGAUCUCCUUUUAAUUAUAGGCCGACUAAGUAAGAAAAGUUAAACUACCCUAGGGAUAACAGCGUAAUCCAUUUGUGGGUUUGCGACCUCGAUGUUGGACUAGGAAUUAUUUAGGUUAGCCGCCUAAAUAACUUGUUCUGUUCGAACUUAAUUUCCU